rnacentral:tRNA from 1 species
GGGGAUGUGGCUCAGCGGUAGAGCGCUCGCCUAGCAUGUGUGAGGCCCUGGGUUCAAUCCUCAGCACCA